GGUGCGAGAGGUGUUUGGUUGCGGGUGUCUGUGCCAGCGCAGCCGGAGAGCCUGAGUCUCAGUCAUCACAGAUAUACCCAGAAACUUAACAAACAGAGGAGAGACCACAGCACCACUCCACCGCCUUUGUUGCUCUCCAUGGUGCUCCCUUGGAGUGUCAAGGCUCCAAUCCAAGUAGGCAUGCUACCAGGUUCCAGAUGCCAGUAUGAUGCCGACUAGACUUCCUUGGACAGAUGACCCCACCAAUGUGUCCUGGAACUCAGCUUCCCCAGAGACCCACCCUACUAGGGAAAGAGAGAGGCAGACUGGGAGUAUGGAUCGACCAGUCAAUGCCCAUGUUCAGCGGGGAAGCAAUUACAGAAGCCAGACCUUCCACCUUCUGCAACCCACAAUGACCUUGGGUCCAUAAUCCCAGAGGGAUAAAGAAUGAGAAAGCUAUCAGGGGAGGGGAUGGGAUAUAGAGAUCUGGUGGUGGGAAUUGUGUGAAGUUGUAUCCCUCUUAUCCUACAGUUUUGUUAAUGUCUCCUUUUUAAAAUAAAUAAAUUUAAAAAAAAAAGAAAGAAAAGAGGGAGUCAGGUGGUAGUGCAGCGGGUUAAGUGCAGGUGUCACAAAGCGCAAGGACCAGCCUAAGGAUCCCGGUUCAAGCCCCUGGAUCCCCACCUGCAGGGGAGUCGCUUUACAGGCGGUGAAGUAGGUCUGCAGGUGUCUAUCUUUCUCUCCCCUUCUCUGUCUUCCCCUCCUCUCUCCAUUGCUCUCUGUCCUAUCCAAUAAUGACUACAUCAAUAACAACAACAAUAAUAACUACAACAAAGGUAACAAAAGGGAAUGAAUGAAUAAAUAAAUAAAUAUUUUUAAAGAAAGAAAAUCCAGUAAUCUAGUUAUAUCUCAUCUUGUGAAAAGUUAUGGCUAAAGGCUUACUCAGCAACUAUCAGUGGAUGAGCACAAGGUUAGGCAGCUCUUCUGUAAACCCAGGCUUUCCCUACACCAGUUUUCAGAACUACAUCAGAGGGAGUUGUUAGUUGCUUUUCCUACAACUUUCAAGACAACAGAGAAAUAGUUAACAUUGCCCAAAGCACAGGCAGUGAUCACUUCUCUACGGUAACCUUAGGAGUCAGCUCCAUCACCUCCUUA